UACGUAGGGUGCGAGCGUUAAUCGGAAUUACUGGGCGUAAAGUGUGCGCAGGCGGCCGAGCAAGUCGAGUGUGAAAGCCCCGAGCUUAACUUGGGAACUGCGCUCGAAACUACUUGGCUAGAGUGUGGCAGAGGGAGGUGGAAUUCCACGUGUAGCGGUGAAAUGCGUAGAGAUCUGGAGGAACACCGAUGGCGAAGGCAGCCUUCUGGGCCAACACUGACGCUCAUGCACGAAAGCGUGGGGAGCAAACAGG
rnacentral:rRNA from 1 species